CUACGGGCCGCAGCAGUGGGGAAUAUUGCACAAUGGGCGCAAGCCUGAUGCAGCCAUGCCGCGUGUAUGAAGAAGGCCUUCGGGUUGUAAAGUACUUUCAGCGGGGAGGAAGGGAGUAAAGUUAAUACCUUUGCUCAUUGACGUUACCCGCAGAAGAAGCACCGGCUAACUCCGUGCCAGCAGCCGCGGUAAUACGGAGGGUGCAAGCGUUAAUCGGAAUUACUGGGCGUAAAGCGCACGCAGGCGGUUUGUUAAGUCAGAUGUGAAAUCCCCGGGCUCAACCUGGGAACUGCAUCUGAUACUGGCAAGCUUGAGUCUCGUAGAGGGGGGUAGAAUUCCAGGUGUAGCGGUGAAAUGCGUAGAGAUCUGGAGGAAUACCGGUGGCGAAGGCGGCCCCCUGGACGAAGACUGACGCUCAGGUGCGAAAGCGUGGGGAGCAAACAGGAUUAGAUACCCGCGUAGUC
rnacentral:rRNA from 1 species